rfam:Agrilus planipennis Contig67419, whole genome shotgun sequence.
CUACAUCUACCCUGUAGAUCCGAAUUUGUUUGAUAUCAGGCGACAAAUUCGGUUCUAGAGAGGUUUGUGUG